rnacentral:rRNA from 1 species
AAUGAACGCUGGCGGCGCGCCUAACACAUGCAAGUCGAGCGAGAAAGUUCCUUCGGGAAUGAGUAGAGCGGCAGACGGGUGAGUAACGCGUAAGAAUCUACCCUUCAGUGAAGAAUACCUCAGAGAAAUUUGAGUUAAUACUGCAUACGUCCCUUCGGGGAGAAAGAUGGCCUCUUUGCUGUCGCUGAUUGAUGAGCUUGCGUACUAUUAGCUAGUUGGUAGGGUAAAAGCCUACCAAGGCGAUGAUGGUUAACCGACCUGAGAGGGUGAUCGGUCACACUGGAACUGAGACACGGUCCAGACUCCUACGGGAGCUG